rnacentral:rRNA from 1 species
CACGUGGGCAACCUGCCUGUAAGACUGGGAUAACUUCGGGAAACCGGAGCUAAUACCGGAUAAUCCUUUCCCUCUCAUGAGGGAAAGCUGAAAGACGGUUUCGGCUGUCACUUACAGAUGGGCCCGCGGCGCAUUAGCUAGUUGGUGAGGUAACGGCUCACCAAGGCGACGAUGCGUAGCCGACCUGAGAGGGUGAUCGGCCACACUGGGACUGAGACACGGCCCAGACUCCUACGGGAGGCAGCAGUAGGGAAUCUUCCGCAAUGGACGAAAGUCUGACGGAGCAACGCCGCGUGAGCGAUGAAGGCCUUCGGGUCGUAAAGCUCUGUUGUCAGGGAAGAACAAGUACCGGAGUAACUGCCGGUACCUUGACGGUACCUGACCAGAAAGCCACGGCUAACUACGUGCCAGCAGCCGCGGUAAUACGUAGGUGGCAAGCGUUGUCCGGAAUUAUUGGGCGUAAAGCGCGCGCAGGCGGUUCCUUAAGUCUGAUGUGAAAGCCCCCGGCUCAACCGGGGAGGGUCAUUGGAAACUGGGGAACUUGAGUGCAGAAGAGGAGAGCGGAAUUCCACGUGUAGCGGUGAAAUGCGUAGAGAUGUGGAGGAACACCAGUGGCGAAGGCGGCUCUCUGGUCUGUAACUGACGCUGAGGCGCGAAAGCGUGGGGAGCGAACAGGAUUAGAUACCCUGGUAGUCCACGCCGUAAACGAUGAGUGCUAAGUGUUAGAGGGUUUCCGCCCUUUAGUGCUGCAGCAAACGCAUUAAGCACUCCGCCUGGGGAGUACGGCCGCAAGGCUGAAACUCAAAGGAAUUGACGGGGGCCCGCACAAGCGGUGGAGCAUGUGGUUUAAUUCGAAGCAACGCGAAGAACCUUACCAGGUCUUGACAUCCUCUGACAACCCUAGAGAUAGGGCGUUCCCCUUCGGGGGACAGAGUGACAGGUGGUGCAUGGUUGUCGUCAGCUCGUGUCGUGAGAUGUUGGGUUAAGUCCCGCAACGAGCGCAACCCUUGAUCUUAGUUGCCAGCAUUAAGUUGGGCACUCUAAGGUGACUGCCGGUGACAAACCGGAGGAAGGUGGGGAUGACGUCAAAUCAUCAUGCCCCUUAUGACCUGGGCUACACACGUGCUACAAUGGAUGGAACAAAGGGNNGCGAAGCCGCGAGGUGAAGCCAAUCCCAUAAAACCAUUCUCAGUUCGGAUUGCAGGCUGCAACUCGCCUGCAUGAAGCCGGAA